rnacentral:rRNA from 1 species
GAUGAACGCUGGCGGCGUGCCUAAUACAUGCCAGUCGAGCGAACAGACGAGGAGCUUGCUCCUCUGACGUUAGCGGCGGACGGGUGAGUAACACGUGGAUAACCUACCUAUAAGACUGGGAUAACUUCGGGAAACCGGAGCUAAUACCGGAUAAUAUAUUUAACCGCAUGGUUCAAUAGUGAAAGACGGUUUUGCUGUCACUUAUAGAUGGAUCCGCGCCGCAUUAGCUAGUUGGUAAGGUAACGGCUUACCAAGGCAACGAUGCGUAGCCGACCUGAGAGGGUGAUCGGCCACACUGGAACUGAGACACGGUCCAGACUCCUACGGGAGGCAGCAGUAGGGAAUCUUCCGCAAUGGCGAAAGCCUGACGGAGCAACGCCGCGUGAGUGAUGAAGGUCUUCGGAUCGUAAAACUCUGUUAUUAGGGAAGAACAAAUGUGUAAGUAACUAUGCACGUCUUGACGGUACCUAAUCAGAAAGCCACGGCUAACUACGUG